GCGUCCACCUCUCCAUUCCACUUCACGGGGCGUUGCAGCUGCAAGGCACACGGACGGUGGUGGGUGCUCACUGUACCUUGGCACAUUCACCAUGGGUGACAUCGACAGCCGGCACGGAUCUCACAUCUGUCCUGCCGUGCCUUGCGCAGCGUGCCCUUCUCUCCGGCCCUGCAUGACAGACUCUCUGACUGGUCACCUUGGAUGAACCUUUGCAAGCUGGGCCAGACUUGCAGUGGAGAGCCAAUGCCUAAAGCAAAAGCCCGAGGGGACCAGCUUCAGAUCCCACUACACAUCUCUGCUCCCUUAGGUGCUGUUACACCCAGAUGAAUUAGGCUCUUAUUUGCUUCAGUAAGCUGAGGGCACAUGCUGGGUUUUACCGAAAGUUGUUCUAUUCAGAAAACACCGACUGGGGACAGGAGGAUCACCAGCUCAUUUCCAGCUGUUGUUGCCCACAUCGUCACAGCAUCUUCACAACAAGUCUUGCUUCUCUGUGGCCUAGAUGUUAUGGAUUCAUUUUCUACUAAACCCAAGACAUAUAGCUAGAGGAUGACCACAGAUCCCCAAACAGGCACAGAACUGUGAGUUCUGAAAUACCUGACUGAUGUGCUAAUGGCAAAGCAGGAGCUGCAGAACAAAUGCAAACCCUGAAGCACCAUCUCAUCCCCUGACUGCUGAGAAACCCCAAACAAGGUGACAUUCCAGCAUCAUCAGGAAUCUUGAUGGUGGAAGGAGGCUGAAAUUCAUGUUCUGCUUGCCAGCAGAGAAGUGAGCUACAAGAUCUGUCACCCGGCUUUAAGAAAGGACCAGAACUAGCCAGCGUGCUUUCUAAAGAUAGGAAGCAGCAGCUUCCCAAGAGCACAAGAGACUUCUCCUUGGGAACAAGGCCCAGCUGAAGAGAUGUGAGAAAAACCUAUAAAGAGAGAGUAAGGGUGAAGUCUAGAAUGAGACUAAGCAGCACAAAGAAGAACCAAAUCCUCCCUCUCCCAGACAGCUGGCAGAGCCCAGCAAGCAGUGCUGUAAGGAGGGCAGCCCAUCCCCCAGCAGCCCUGCUCCUCCUCGCCAUGGCCGGAGGGAAGGAUUUGCACCUACAGCCGUCACUAAUAGUCUUCAUCUGAGAGAGUAAAGAAAACCCACCUGCUACACACUCGUCCAAAUCCUUAUCAAGGCAAAAAGGAGAGCAGCAACAGUGCUGCUGUUUAGACUCUUGAUUGCUCCAGGGCAAGAAGAUGUGUGUGUUGACUGUCCCGUCAAAGCAAUAAAUUAACCACUUACCAUAUGGAUCAGUGUGGAGAAAGAGGGAUAAGUAGUUAUCUUGACAAGAAGUUGCUUCUUCACUGGAUCCUUUCUCUUUUACAGUUUCUAAUGUGAGGAAAGACACGAUGCUUGCAGAGGAAAAGAAGAAGGAUUAAGCCCUUCUGUGGUAGUUAUGUGCUACACUGCUACCUACGUGAGAGGGCUGAACAGCUCAUCGAAGGGGAUGGCUGAUCUCUCUGUGGAGAAGGGAGCACCUCUGAGAAUGUGAUGGUCUGACAUCAAGAUUUAAAAAGGAAGGGACAGAGCUUGCCUUCAAGAGGAAAUCUGAUAUCCACCCUGGCAAGGGAGACAGAGGCCUGCAGAUCUGAGUUCACAGAUCACUGCUACAUGGCACGGCAAGCUUCUCUUUCCUGGAGUCUGAAACUAGUCCUAAAGAUGGCUACACUGAAGAAGGCAGGUAUUAGUUAAUGUCAAAUUACUUUUGACUUCCAUUGAGACUUUUUCCAAACGCUCAGUAAUUCUUCAGGAACUGGUUGGUUCCUCAAUAGGUGCUUUUUAAGGUCUUUAAAGUCCAGCGCUAGGCCCUUCCUUUUUCGUGUAUCUGUCCUCUGACUUUUCAAUAUAACAUCAAAGUCUAGAUGUGUUUAUCAAUAACUGUGUUAACUUCUGUUAAAGAAUACAUAGCUGGAGCUUAAACCCCAAGAGGCUGAAAUUACCUUUCUACAGACUUCCUAGAGGGCUGUUACGCCUAUCCACUAACACAUUCAGCUACCUUCCAUCUUCUGCUGGAAAGCUAUAGUUUUGCCUGUUUCCACAGAACACAGAUUACCCAUUGUAGUCAUGGGAAAAAAUGUGGCUUUAUAUCAACAGGCCUAUGAACGAUUAUAAUUUGCAUUUUUGCUGACUACGUAUCUAAGAGGAAAUAAUCCUGCAAUGUGCUGAAUUUUAAUGGGCUGAUGUUCUGUGCUUUCGUCUCCCGCUGACUUAUCUAAGCUCAAA